GACGAACGCUGGCGGCGUGCCUAAUACAUGCAAGUCGAGCGAAGCGGCGGAUGGGUGAGUAACGCGUGGGUAACCUGCCCUUAAGUCUGGGAUACCAUUUGGAAACAGAUGCUAAUACCGGAUACUAAAGGAUGGACCUGCGAUGCAUUAGCUAGUUGGUAAGGUAACGGCUUACCAAGGCGAUGAGGCAUAGCCGAGGUUAGAGACUGAUCGGCCUCAUUGGGACUUAGACACGGCCCAAACUCGUACGUGAGGCAGCAGUAGGGAAUCGUCCACGAUGGACGAAAGUCUGAUGGAGCAACGCCGCGUGAGUGAAGAAGGUUUUCGGAUCGUAAAGUUCGGUUGUUGGUGAAGCGGUAAUCAACCAGAAAGUCACGGCGAACUACGUGCCAGCAGCCGCGGUAAUAC
rnacentral:rRNA from 1 species